rnacentral:misc_RNA from 1 species
GAGGAGGAGGAGGAUAUUGUUAUGACUAAGGGAUGGAAUGAGCUAAAUGAGUUGACUGGGUUGGAUAAGUUUACUUGGGUGGGCUGUGGGCUGAAUGUAAUAGACAGGAGUUAUUCUGAAAUUUUGUAAGGGUUUGUAUAAAUAGGGGACGAAUAAUUAUAAUUGGGCAUUUGUAGAAUCAAAAACAAAUGUAGAAUUCUUCUCUUUUAUUCUCUAAUUCUAAUAUCAUCCCUUUCUAUUUCUGUUCUCACCUAGUUCCUUUCUAUCUCUU